UCCCUGGUGGUCUAGUGGUUAGGACUUGGUGCUUUCAUUGCUGCGGCCUGGGUUCAGUCCCUGGUCUGGGAA
rnacentral:tRNA from 1 species